ensembl:lncRNA
UGCACGGCUCUGUGUCGAGGGGUGGGGGCAGGGAGUCCUGAAAGGUGGGGGAGGAGUUAAACUGAACUCCGAAGAGAAGCUAAUUUCAAAUCAUCUCUCUCUCAUCGUACAGUAUAGCUUUAAGUCAUCUGCAUCUCAAAGGCUUGGGGUGCGUCCCAUUUCUACCCCUUACCCCUCCCCCUUACCCCUCCCCCUUGGUUUGAAGGGGUAAGGGUGUCCCAAUUCUCAUUUUGGUUAAGGGGUAGGGCGAAGACAAAAGGCUACGUAGCCCUUGAAAUGAAGCGAAAACGUAGCUUGAAACGAAGCUAUCCAAGGACCACACUUCAAAGGGAGGGCUUCGAGGAAAAUCCGGCCGAAAAUGCAUUUUUACUAGUUGUUAUCAUUCGGACUCAUUAUGUAAAGUUGACUGUAUAUUCAGCUCGAAGUCAUACACGGACAAUGCGAUCUCUGAGCUCGAUAUAAAACAUGACAUAACGGUAAAUAACCGUUGAACUAUACAUACAAGAUUUUGGCGCGCUCUAGUGGCCAAGCGAAAUCACCAUCAUCAUCAACAGCAUCAUUAUCAACAGCAGCGAUGGCUCAAACAAAGGAAAUGCACAAAUGGACACCACAGGAGACCAGACACCUCAUUAAUUUCAGGUCGACCAGGGACAAUGAGUUUCUCAAGUCAAAAAUGAUCGCCUGAAAACAGUGGGAGUGAGUCUUACGUUGUUCAAUCUUUUCAUUCUUGCGUCUGUUUUCUACUUUGGUAUUUCUGUGUUGAGCUCAAUAGCCCACUGAAUGUCUGUGUCGUUAUACUGUACGUUGGCUGUGAUGUAGGCUUUUUCUGGAAGAAAUGGGGAUGGAGGGAAAAGUUACAAGGCAACAGGCUUCUAAGAAGUGGGAAAACCUCAAAAAGAAGUACAAGGAUUUGAGGACUCCCAAAACUGGGUCGGGGACGGAAAGUGGGGAGGUGACAGUGGCGACGUGGCAGUAUUAUGAUUUGAUGCACAAGGUUCUUGGUGCCCGGCCAACAAUCGACCCACCAGUCCUUGUGUCCUCGAUUCAAGAAGACCCCAUGGUUAUCCUCAUGGAGAUGGUGGAGCCCUACAACCAAGCACCCCCGACAGCAGCCAGCACCCCAGUACACCCGCCGACCACAUCAAUCAUGCGAAGGAGGUCCAAAACAGUUGCAGAACUCCUGGCUGAGGAGGCACUUCAGGAGCAGAGGCGCCAUGAAGAGAGUGAGGCCAAGACAGAUCGCUUUCUUGAUCUCUUUGAGAGGAUGGUCAACAAAUUAUAAUUAUUGAUUUUUGUUGUUCCUAUGUUUUUGGUAUGCUAUUUAUUAUUCCUAUUUAUUAUUGUUGUAUAUAUUUCUAUUUAUUAUUUUAUGCUAUUUAUUAUUCCUAUUUAUUAUUGUUAUAUAUAUUUAUAUUUAUUGCUAUUUAUUAAUUUAUGCUAUUUAUUAUUCCUAUUUAUUAUUGUUAUAUAUAUUUCUAUUUAUUAAUUUAUUAUUACUAUUUAUUAUUAUUAUUGUAUAUAUUUAUUGCUAUUUAUAAAUGUAUGCCAUUUUAUAACUUUAAAUUAUAUUUCUAAUUUAAAGUUACUUGUUGAACAAUUAAAUGUUCUUGUUUACAAAAGUUUUUUCUAUGUGUGAUAAAUGCUACAAGAAGCAGAUAGUUUUAAAACAUUUAUCAAUCAGUUUUAAAACAACUAUCAAUCAACAAAUAAAUAACACAGUAUGAACAUAAUCAUCAGGAUAAACUUGUAAGGGAACAUAAACCAACAGGUAACGGUAGAAAAACUAUUUUUAAGUAGUUUUAAGUAAGCAUAUAAAAACCAACAAGAAAAACUAUUUACAAGUGAUAAGUAAGCGUAAUAAAGACCAACAAGAAAAACUAUUUACAAGUGAUAAGUAAGCGUAAUAAAAACCAACAAGAAAAACUAUUUACAAGUGAUAAGUAAGCGUAAUAAAAACCAACAAGAAAAACUAUUUACAAGUGAUAAGUAAGCGUAAUAAAAAACCAACAGGUAACUGUAGAAAAAACUAUUUACAAGUGAUAACAUUUAAAAUUCAUAUGAGACUUGGGCAGCCAGUGAGUCUCGGAUAGCAAAUCCUGGUGUUUCAUUUAUUCCAAUUUGUUCUUGAGGGGGAUGGGGGUCAAGGUCAUCCCUGGCAAUGUCUGCAUCAGGAUCCAGUGUUUCCAUUGUUUAAGCAGACAUUGUGCAAGAAGGCACAGGAAGCAAUGACCUGGGGGGCAAAGGUAGGCUUGACUUCGAGCGCCCGGAAAAGGGUUGACCUCCACCUUGUCUUCAUCAUCCCGAAGGCCCGCUCUAUUACAGAACGCGCCUUGGAUUGGCGGUAAUUAAAGCGCUGCUGCACCCGCCCAAUCACCGGCUCUUUGUAGGGAGUCAACAGACAUACGGGCGUCUGGAGGCAGGGGUACCCACCAUCACCUAAGAGCAUGUAACCCGGCGGUGGAUACCUGGCAGUCAAAUAAAAGGGACUGUUUUUCAUUACCCUUGUGUCAUGGACAGACCCUGGGUAGCCCACAAAAAUGUCCAAAAAUGUCCCCUUUGCAUCACAUAUGGCCUGCAUGUUAAUUGAAUAGAAAUUCUUAUAAUUUAGAUAGUCUAAUCGAUGUCGUUGUGGUGGCUUGAUCCGAAUAUGGGUUCCAUCUAUCGCCCGACAACAUUUACAAAAGCAGGGGUCCCUGAUAGAUCGGCAAACCCUUGCCCUACUGCUUUCAGCUCCUCAUAGGCCUGUGGGAAGGAGAUCACCCUGUUCAAAUUGUUCCAUAUACUUUGUGCCACCCGGUGUAUUACUCUGUGCACAGUUGCCUUUGGUACACUGAACACACUGGAUACCACCCGGUAUGACAGUCCAUGGGCAAGCCAAUAGACGUAGAUCAGGAUUUCAAAUUGAUUCCCCCAACCAUGAUCUUGCCCCCUGUCCAGGAGCCUCUGCAGGCUGUUCAUGGCACGUCUGGACAGGCGAAAGUCUUGCCACAGUUCAGCCCCCUCAUCGCGCCAUAUCCGCAGGAUGGGCACAGUCGCAUCCACCCUGCAGUACAUAGGUGGACGAUCCGCCUGGAGAAACAAAAAGACUGAUUUUCAAACUGGGGUCGAGAUGAUGCGUCAUGAAAUGUCAAAGCCUCUCAGCCAGAUGAACCACCAAAGUGGUUCGAUCAAAUCAUUUGAGAAUUCAUAAAUCAUUUGUCUAAGAUUUUCAUAUCGCGAUACAGCACAACGUAAUUUCGCCUGUGAAUCCUACUCGAUACGGAGCUUCGCUGGGGAGGAGCCGACACCUACUUGACACACGCCCCGAUGCCUCGACGCAAACCAUUACAUCACUAUUUAAAACCACUUGAUGAUAACAUUUCCUAACUCACCCGGCACUGACAAAAAUAAAUUAACACAUAGGCCUACAUGGUUAAAAAACAGAUCGUAUACAAACACAUACGAGAGCUAGCCUACAUUUCCAGCUGAGCCGGCUGGUUAACUGAUAGGCCUAUUUCAUACAAUGAAAAAAUAAAGAAGUUAUACGUACCAUCAUUUGAUUCGUCAGCAGACGUAUGCGUUGGUGGUACAUUCGUCGCCUCCGGUGUCUUUCUUUAGCAGCAGACAGGCGUAGAAACAGAAAAAUGGCCAAGGCAACCGACAUUAUAACCGGUGAGGACGGCAUCAUGAAUGAAUAAUUAAUGCGACUCAAUUGCCGCCUUUGAGAGGGGUCUGUGCGCGUGGAACUCAACUGUAUUUCCUUCUGAACACCCACUGAUCGUAACUAAUACGAAUUAACGUUUUAACAUUAUUUAGGAUCUUCAUGCUCUUCCACCGGCACAUUUUACGUGUUUCCAUCGGUAAUUGUCUACUUUUAAUAAAGAAACCAAAUGCAAUAUGUUCUUGUACUGUUGUGCUUUGAUAUAGUGGUCAGUUAGAAUGAAGAUCAAAUCACAUUCCAGUGACCAUAAUGUGUUUGUGCAUGUAAGACAUGGAUUUUUGUAGCCUAUCAACAAAUUAUUCACGACAAGACACGUCUGUGAGGCAACGCAACGUAUGCUUGAUCUGAAACAUGCCUACUCGUUGCCUCUGUUGACAUAGCAGUCAGCUGUCCGCAGUCAGCGACGAUGAAGCCACGUAAUGGAGGGGCGUCCCAUUUCCUAGGGGAACGUUUUACCCCUCUGUAUUGAGGGGCAAGGGGAAGGGGUAAGGGGGAGGGGUAAGGGGGAGGGGUAAGGGCUAGAAAUGGGAUUGGGCCUUGAUCAGAGGUGAGUUACAUUAAGACAAGGUUGUGGCUAUGCUUACGGCGCGCCGUAAAAAUAGCUAGUGGCUAUGCUUACGGCGCGCCGUAAAAAUACUGCAUUAGUCUAUUUUCACGGCAGGUUAUGGCUAGGGUUAAUUAAUAUAAUUAAUUACUAUAAUUACCAUGGCUAUUUUUACGGACACGGGUCACGUGACAAGCUGCCGUCGGUCAUGUGACAAGCUGCCGUACGAAUAGCCUAAUUGCUAUUCUUACGGUCGCCGUACGAAUAGCCACUGCCUUUUUUUUUAAAGCGGACUCCAAGAAUCACAAUUAUUCCAAUGUACCUGUACUUCUGCUGUGCAAACGACAAUAAAUAACUUGAAUAUUGAAAAGUUGUAGUCUUUACUGUACUGUAGUCUGUACUCUACGCUUAGCUACUGCUACUGAACAAACACCACUGAACAGGGAUGAAAACAGCUUCCUGCCUAGACUCAAACUGUGGUGCCUCGCUCUUCCUCAUCGACCUGUAGCACAAGGCUCUCACGCUGACCUGCACUGUCAGCUUGUCUUUAUUGGACACUGAAUGAAAUAACACAUACAAAUUCAUUAAGCAUCAAUUGUACUGGGUUACUCCAUCAUCACAUCUAUAACAUGUUACUACAUGGAAAGAAACGUUAGGUAGCUAAGUAAUAUUACUUUUAUGUACACAAAACCGUGGCUAUAAAUUAAACUAUUAUUACUCAACACAACAGGCAAACAUCAAGGCUGAUAUAAAACACUGGUUAAGAAAUCUCAUUGGAAUUUGCUGUUUCUGCAUCGUAAUACACGUUAGAAAGUGACAGUUAAUGGACAGACUAGACUUUGACAGUUGCUAGCGUCUGUUAGACGUAGUUGUCUUUCCUUCGUAGCUGUGAAUAUAGGUCACAGCAUACAGCCUAAACCCCUUCUCCAAUUUGCUUGUCGGAGUUUUCGUUUCCCUACAUAAUCGAUAUACAUCAGUGAUGUUUAUUGUCGGCAGCUCUUGUAAACACAGGGUGUAGAACGUCGCCAUAUUUGACCGGAAGCUGUGAAGCUGUAUUACGGCGAAUCAGGAAGUGCUUGUGCAAGUAGCCUAUUCGCGUUCUUUUCUGUACUUGUGUGCUUGCGUUCUUGUGAAACGUCAUCAGUCGUAGCCCAAGUACUGUUCCAAUUCAAGGGCUGUGUCCCAAUUCAUAGGACGCAUCCUUCGUAGACCGCGUCCUUCGAAGGAUGCGGUCUACGUAGACCGCGAAGGACACUCCGAAGGCCGAAGAAAUGGGACGGUCUAGCUUUCGGAGCAUUUCCGGUUUACGUAACAAACCGUUACCGCCCUUUACCUUGCGUGACCACCACCCGCUGCUCCUGUCACCGCAAUCCUGACAGCUGACCUGACCUGUUAGUAAACAGAAGUUAUACCGGACAGCGCGGGAAAAAAAACAACAAAGAAACCAAAUAAACCAACAAAGAAACCAACAAAAAUGGAGCCACAAAUUAUAAUUUUAUUUUUUAUCUUUUAUUUGAGGAGUUGGGGAAUACUCACCGCCGGAGCCGACGGGGGAUAUAUCUUCGGCUCCGAGUAAGUGACGACCACAGAUUGGUAAACCUGUGUUACCUUACUUUUAACCAGCAGUAUUGUUGACAUUAUCGUGUUAUAUGGCUAGCGUAAAUGUAAAUGUCAUUGAACUUUUACAAUAUAAUUACAUAUUUAAAAUAGUCUCAACCUUACAUUAAUAUAAAAAAAAAAAUCUGUCAUUAAUCAGCUAAAUAAAGGUUG